UACGUAGGGGGCUAGCGUUGUCCGGAAUCAUUGGGCGAAAAGCGCGUGUAGGCGGCCCGGUAAGUCCGCUGUGAAAGUCGGGGGCUCAACCCUCGGAUGCCGGUGGAUACUGUCGGGCUUGAGUACGGAAGAGGCGAGUGGAAUUCCUGGUGUAGCGGUGAAAUGCGCAGAUAUCAGGAGGAACACCAAUUGCGAAGGCAGCUCGCUGGGACGUUACUGACGCUGAGACGCGAAAGCGUGGGGAGCAAACAGG
rnacentral:rRNA from 1 species